GUCCCCGUAGCUCAGUUGGAUAGAGCAACUCCCUUCUAAGGAGUAGGUCGUGUGUUCGAAUCACACCGGGGACG
rfam:Microgenomates bacterium 39_6 MPI_scaffold_4772, whole genome shotgun sequence.